CUAGUUAUUCCGCAACAGUUUUUAACGAUGGUGAUCGUUAGUUGUAUACCUGUUAAAGGCUCACACCACAAUGCCAGGAUUAUCAGCCAGAACGAGCUCUUGGGAUGUCUCAGAUGGUGGCUUCGAAAAGCUAUAUUGUCAGAAGAUUCGGCUAUAGAAUGCAGACUAUUAACAGACUAAUGAGCCGCGUCAGGCAGACUGGCCAGAUAUUUGACAAUCUGAAAUCCCAGAGAGUGAGCAACAUCACCUGCGCAUUUAUCAACUGGAUACACCCAGUAUCAGCAGGGACACAGUGAUGAGACGACUGCGUGCUGUGGCCAUUCUGGCGUAUCGACCAUUUCAGAGGAUGUCAUGAACCCUUUCAACAUAGACUGAAUCUUCUAGUCAGUUCUGUUAGACAACGACCACGUGGGAGCCCCUCCGUUUUAACACGCCACUUAACAUGAACGGAUGAAGUCUUGUGAUUCUUAGAAGGGCUGUAUCCUCCAUAGGAGUUGCCACUCGUGGUCGACCUGAGCAUUGACUGUGAUUAACGUCAUUAGUUUGCUGAUACUUUCUGGCCAAUCGGCUGAUAGUCUGUGGCUGACAAGCAGCAUCUCUUGCAACAGCCCUCAAUGACAAUCGAUCAUUCUGCAUUUCAGUAACUUGCCAUUAUUGAGAAGUUGUCAGUUGUGAAGACCCCAUAUUUGCUUAUCAACAAAUCAACAACGAAAUCAACUGAUCGCCUUAUCGAGCUGUCAGAACAAUUUACUGGAACAUGAUACUUGCUUAAUGACGGGUGCAACUAUUACACAUAAUGCUCGCCUUUGAUCGUAACAGGUGCAUAUCUAAAAUCAACGCAUGGGGUACGCGGAGUGUCUAUAUAAACAUAAUUAUGAUGUGAAUAUAAAUGACUAUAUCCUGUUAAAAUCAUAGGUGUUGCCAUAGUUUUGUCCAUGUGUUGUUUCAUUGAUGAAGCUCAUUAAAAUACCCAAUGACUCUC